CGUGGCCUACGGGACGCAGCAGUGGGGAAUAUUGGGCAAUGGACGCAAGUCUGACCCAGCAACGCCGCGUGAAGGAAGAAGGCUCUCGGGUUGUAAACUUCUUUUAAGGGGGAAGAGCAGAAGACGGUACCCCUUGAAUAAGCCACGGCUAACUACGUGCCAGCAGCCGCGGUAAUACGUAGGAUGCGAGCGUUAUCCGGAUUUAUUGGGUUUAAAGGGUGCGCAGGCGGUCUGUUAAGUCAGCGGUCAAAGCCCGGGGCUCAACCCCGGCCCGCCGUUGAAACUGGCAGUCUCGAGUUGGAGAG
rnacentral:rRNA from 1 species